rnacentral:rRNA from 1 species
ACCUGCCCAUUGAGAUUUAAAAGGCCGCGGUAUUAUGACCGUGCUAAGGUAGCAUAAUCAUUAGUCUUUUAAUUGAAGGCUGGUAUGAAUGGUUGGACAAGAGAUAAGCUGUCUCGAGCAAAAAUAUUGAAUUUAACUUUUAAGUGAAAAGGCUUAAAUUUUCUAGGGGGACGAUAAGACCCUAUAAAACUUUAUAUUUUAAAAAUAUUAACUAGUUUUGUAUAAGAGGUUUUUUUUUGAGUAUUUUAUUGGGGUGAUAGGGAUAUAAUAAAAGAUAACUGUCUCUUUUUUUUACAGAGAUAUUUGAGUAAAUGAUCCUAAUAAGGGAAAGAAGGUUAAGUUACUUUAGGGA